UUUCCCUACCCAUAAAGAAAUCAGACAGAGGGAUGUGGGACUGUCACCUGCUCCAGAUUCCUAAGGAAGUUCCCCUUCCUUAAAGCCAUCCUAAGCCCCUGUGCCUCAGCAGACAGGCACCUUCUCAGCCAAGGACCCAGGACCCUCUUCCCCACCAGGCACCUUCUCAGCCAGGGACCCAGGACCCUCUUCCCCACCAGGCACCUUCUCAGCCAGGGACCCAGGACCCUCUUCCCCGGACCCUCUUCUGACCGAGGUUUCUUCAUUACAGGAUCAG
rnacentral:lncRNA from 1 species